rnacentral:rRNA from 1 species
GUGGGGAAUUUUGGACAAUGGGCGCAAGCCUGAUCCAGCCAUGCCGCGUGCGGGACGAAGGCCUUCGGGUUGUAAACCGCUUUCAGCCGGAAAGAAAUCGUCAAGGCUAAUAUCCUUGAUGGAUGACGGUACCGGAAGAAGAAGCACCGGCUAACUACGUGCCAGCAGCCGCGGUAAUACGUAGGGUGCGAGCGUUAAUCGGAAUUACUGGGCGUAAAGGGUGCGCAGGCGGUUUUGUAAGCCAGACGUGAAAUCCCCGGGCUUAACCUGGGAACUGCGUUUGGAACUGCAAGACUAGAGUGUGUCAGAGGGAGGUGGAAUUCCACGUGUAGCAGUGAAAUGCGUAGAUAUGUGGAGGAACACCGAUGGCGAAGGCAGCCUCCUGGGAUAACACUGACGCUCAUGCACGAAAGCGUGGGGAGCAAACAGGAUUAGAAACCCCAGUAGUCC